AACGAACGCUGGCGGCAGGCCUAACACAUGCAAGUCGAACGCUGCAGCAAUGCAGAGUGGCAGACGGGUGAGUAACGCGUGGGAACCUUCCCAGUGGUACGGAAUAGCCCAGGGAAACUUGGGGUAAUACCGUAUAAGCCCCUAGGGGGAAAGAUUUAUCGCCAUUGGAUGGGCCCGCGUCGGAUUAGCUAGUUGGUGAGGUAACGGCUCACCAAGGCGACGAUCCGUAGCUGGUCUGAGAGGAUGAUCAGCCACACUGGGACUGAGACACGGCCCAGACUCCUACGGGAGGCAGCAGCGGGGAAUAUUGGACAAUGGGCGCAAGCCUGAUCCAGCCAUGCCGCGUGAGUGACGAAGGCCUUAGGGCUGUAAAGCUCUUUUGGCGGGGACGAUAAUGACGGUACCCGCAGAAUAAGCUCCGGCUAACUCCGUGCCAGCCGCCGCCGUAACAC
rnacentral:rRNA from 1 species